rnacentral:rRNA from 1 species
UACGGGGGGGGCAAGCGUUGUUCGGAAUUACUGGGCGUAAAGGGCGUGUAGGCGGCCAACUAAGUCCGACGUGAAAUCCCCAGGCUUAACCUGGGAACUGCGUCGGAUACUGGAUGGCUUGAAUCCGGGAGAGGGAUGCGGAAUUCCAGGUGUAGCGGUGAAAUGCGUAGAUAUCGUAAGGAAGACCAGUGGCGAAGGCGGGUCUCUGGACAGUUCCUGACGCUGAGGCACGAAGGUCAGGGGAGCAAACGGG